CACUCACACACACACUCACGCACACACACUCACUCACACGACACGAUUGGCUCCGAUAUAAAGCUGAGUGAACUGGGUGAGGGAUCGAUCAGAUUGACUCGCAGUGAUCUGGAAUGGAAGAGCUGAUCAAUACUCAGUCAGACGCUGUUGGUAGACUGGCAUUCAAAUACAUGGAGAUGUGUAAAGUAGACUCCAGCUCAGACUCUGAAUCAGAGUCCAACCCCAGAUGGUCUGAUGUCAGCAGCAAGGGCUGUGAAAGCAGCACUCCAGAAGCUCCUCAGAAACUCCAGCAAAACUACCAGCAG